GUGCUCACUUCAGCAGCACAUAUAUUAAAAUUAGAACAAUACAGAGAAGAUUAGCAUGGCCCCUGCACAAGGAUGACAUGCAAAUUCGUGAAGAAUUCCAUAUUUAA
ensembl:snRNA U6 U6 spliceosomal RNA